GCGGCGGACGGGUGAGUAAUGCCUAGGAAAUUGCCCUGAUGUGGGGGAUAACCAUUGGAAACGAUGGCUAAUACCGCAUAAUGCCUACGGGCCAAAGAGGGGGACCUUCGGGCCUCUCGCGUCAGGAUAUGCCUAGGUGGGAUUAGCUAGUUGGUGAGGUAAUGGCUCACCAAGGCGACGAUCCCUAGCUGGUCUGAGAGGAUGAUCAGCCACACUGGAACUGAGACACGGUCCAGACUCCUACGGGAGGCAGCAGUGGGGAAUAUUGCACAAUGGGCGCAAGCCUGAUGCAGCCAUGCCGCGUGUGUGAAGAAGGCCUUCGGGUUGUAAAGCACUUUCAGUCGUGAGGAAGGUAGUGUAGUUAAUAGCUGCAUUACUUGACGUUAGCGACAGAAGAAGCACCGGCUAACUCCGUG
rnacentral:rRNA from 1 species